rnacentral:rRNA from 1 species
GACGAACGCUGGCGGCGUGCUUAACACAUGCAAGUCGAACGGAGCGAAUGAAAGCUUGCUUUUAUGAGCUUAGUGGCAAACGGGUGAGUAACACGUAGACAACCUGCCGACAGGAUGGGGACAACAUUCCGAAAGGAAUGCUAAUACCGAAUGAAGCGGAGGAGAGGCAUCUCUCCUCCGUGAAAGAUGGCCUCUGAACAUGCUAUCACCUGUCGAUGGGUCUGCGUCUGAUUAGCUAGUUGGUGAGGUAACGGCUCACCAAGGCGACGAUCAGUAGCCGGUCUGAGAGGAUGAACGGCCACAUUGGGACUGAGACACGGCCCAGACUCCUACGGGAGGCAGCAGUGGGGAAUCUUCCGCAAUGGGCGCAAGCCUGACGGAGCAACGCCGCGUGAGUGAAGAAGGUCUUCGGAUCGUAAAGCUCUGUUGAUGGGGACGAACGUGCGAAGGGUGAAUAAUCCUUUGCAAUGACG